rnacentral:lncRNA from 1 species
ACAGGGGUCACCCCAAAACCAGACAUGGUGGGGGGGGGAACGGGACAAGUCCCGGUGUCGCCAAAUUCCAGUCCCAGAUCCCAAAUCCCAGUCCCAGGUCCCCAAAUCCCAAUUUGGGACCUCAAAUCCCAGUCCCAGGUCCCCAAAUCCCAACGCCUGUCCCAGUUCUGGGUCCCAAAUCCCAUUCCCAGUGUCCCCCAUUCCCGGUUUUCCCCCUUUCCCCCCUCCCCCCAAUUCCCGCUUUUGGCUUUUCCACCCAAAUCCCAAAUCCCAGCUCCCCCCAAAUCCCUUUGGCCCCUCCCAAACUCCCAUCCCAAUCCCCAGUUGUCCUCCCAGUCCCAAAUCCCAAAUCCCGCUGUCCCUCCCUGAUCCCAAUCCCACUCCUGGUGCCCCCAAUUCCCAGUUUUCUAUCCCAAUUCCCGGUUCCUCCCGAUCCCAAAUCCCUCUUUUCCCUAUUCCCCGUUCCCAAAUCCCUUCCCCCGAUCCCAAAUCCCUUUCCCCAACCCUAAAUCUCUUCUCCCCAAUCCCAAAUCCCUUUUCCCCACGAUCCCAAAUCCCUGUUUCCCCACGAUCCCAAUCCCUGUUUCCCCACGAUCCCAAAUCCCUUUUUUUCCCAUUUUUUCCCCCAUUUCUCUCUCACCGCGGCCUCGCUCAGCUCCGCCACAUCCCGGGAUCGGCUCCCGGCGAUCCCAGAGAUUCCCGGCGAUCCCAAACCCGCCGGGCGAUCCCAAAUCCCCGCCGGGCGAUCCCAGAGAUUCCCGGCGAUCCCAAAGUUCCCGAUCCUUCUCUUCCCUGCCCCGCAAACUUUUCCCCUUUUGUCUCCGGCCCCGCCCCGGGACGGCCCCGGCGGGCGGAGCGGGGAGCGGGAUCGGGAUUUGGGAUCUGGGAUCGGGAUUUGGGAUCUGGGAUCGGGAAUAGGUUUUGGAAUCGGGAUUUGGGAUCGGGGCGGUCCCGGAGGGCGGAGCGGGGUUUGGGAUCGGGAUUUGGGAUGGGAAUGGGAUUUGGGAUGGGGGGAUAAGGAAUGGGAAUGGGAUCGAGAAUGGGAUUUCGAGAUUUGGGACCGAAAUGGGGCGGGAAUGGGAUCAGGGCUGGGAAUGGGAUUUGCAGUCGAGAAUGGGAGGGAAAUGGGAUCGGGAAUGGGACUUGGGAUAGGAAUGGGGCAGGAAUGGGAUCGGGAAUAGGAUCAGGGCUGCGAACGGGAUUUGGGAUGGGAAUGGGGCGGGAAUGGGAUUUGGGGCCAGGAGUGGGAUCGGAAAUGGGAUCCAGCCCCCUCUAGACUCCCCCCAAAACCCAAAUUCCCGAUAGAAUUCCCAAAUUUUGGGGUCUUUAGAGACCCCCAGUCCAAAGGAGACCACUAAUCUACCGGGGAACCCCCAUCCCCCAAACACCUACAGCCCCUCCCAGCCUCUCCCA